ACUAGGCCUAAUAAAACACGAC
rnacentral:snRNA from 1 species